GUGCAAUUGCACCGUCUGGGGAUGAGCCUGCGCUCCAUUAGUUAGUUGGCGGGGUAAGAGCCCACCAAGACGACGAUGGAUAGCCGGCCUGAGAGGGUGUACGGCCACACUGGAACUGAGACACGGUCCAGACUCCUACGGGAGGCAGCAGCUAAGAAUCUUCCGCAAUGGGGGAAACCCUGACGGAGCGACGCCGCGUGGAUGAUGAAGGCCGUAAGGUUGUAAAAUCCUUUUGUCGGUGAAGAAUAAGGGGGGGAGUGGAAAGCCCCUCUGAUGACGUUAGCCGGCGAAUAAGCCCCGGCCAAUUACGUGCCAGCAGCCGCGGUAAUACGUAUGGGGCAAGCGUUGUUCGGAGUUAUUGGGCGUAAAGGGCGUGUAGGCGGCUCAUCAAGUCUGGUGUGAAAUCGCAAGGCUCAACCUUGCAUAUGCGCUGGAAACUGGUGGGCUUGAGUUCUUGAGGGGAAGCUGGAAUUCCAGGUGUAGGGGUGAAAUCUGUAGAUAUCUGGAAGAACACCGGUGGCGAAGGCGAGCUUCUAUCAGAGGACUGACGCUGAGGCGCGAAAGCGUGGGGAGCAAACAGGAUUAUAUACCCUGGUAGUCCACGCUGUAAACGAUGUGCACUAGGCGUGGGGCCCGUACGGGUUCUGUGCCGUAGUUAACGUGAUAAGUGCACCGCCUGGGGAGUAUGCUCGCAAGGGUGAAACUCAAAGGAAUUGACGGGGGCCCGCACAAGCGGUGGAGCAUGUGGUUUAAUUCGAUUGUACACGAGGAACCUUACCAGGGCUUGACAUGUGCGUGAAUGUUCACGAGAGUGGGCAGCCCCGCAAGGGGCGCGCACACAGGUGCUGCAUGGCUGUCGUCAGCUCGUGUCGUGAGAUGUUGGGUUAAGUCCCGCAACGAGCGCAACCCUUACUGCCAGUUGCUACCAGGUUGUGCUGAGCACUCUGGCGGAACUGCCGGUGACAAACCGGAGGAAGGUGGGGAUGACGUCAAGUCAUCAUGGCCCUUAUGUCCUGGGCUACACACGUGCUACAAUGGUCGGUACAAAGCGAAGCGAAACGGCGACGUCAAGCAAAUCGCAGAAAGCCGGUCUCAGUGCGGAUUGGAGUCUGAAACCCGACUCCAUGAAGUUGGAAUCGCUAGUAAUCGCGCAUCAGCAUGGCGCGGUGAAUACGUUCCCGGGCCUUGUACACACCGCCCGUC
rnacentral:rRNA from 1 species